rnacentral:rRNA from 1 species
GAUGAACGCUGGCGGCGUGCCUAAUACAUGCAAGUCGAGCGAACAGAUGAGGAGCUUGCUCCUCUGACGUUAGCGGCGGACGGGUGAGUAACACGUGGAUAACCUACCUAUAAGACUGGGAUAACUUCGGGAAACCGGAGCUAAUACCGGAUAAUAUAUUGAACCGCAUGGUUCAAUAGUGAAAGACGGUUUUGCUGUCACUUAUAGAUGGAUCCGCGCCGCAUUAGCUAGUUGGGAAGGUAACGGCUUACCAAGGCAACGAUGCGUAGCCGAACUGAGAGGGUGAUCGGCCACACUGGAACUGAGACACGGUCCAGACUCCUACGGGAGGCAGCAGUAGGGAAUCUUCCGCAAUGGGCGAAAGCCUGACGGAGCAACGCCGCGUGAGUGAUGAAGGUCUUCGGAUCGUAAAACUCUGUUAUUAGGGAAGAACAAAUGUGUAAGUAACUAUGCACGUCUUGACGGUACCUAAUCAGAAAGCCACGGCUAACUACGUG